AUGAAAACCCGCCUCGAGUCUCGUGCAUCCAUGGCCGCCGGCGCCGAGACGGCUGGGCUCGCGUCCAGCACCGGACUUGAGCUCUGCCCGCGGUCCGUGGGGGCCGCAGAUGUCCCCUCGUCCCGCCUCCGGUACCGUCGAGGCUCCGGCUCCCGUGCAGACGUGUCCCGGCAGUGCGCACGGUCGCGGACUCCCUGCCAGAACCGAGACUACACUCCGCUCCGCUUCCCGCGCCUCAUUCCCUGGCCGUUAUCGCGGUCGUCUCUAUCGUCGUCCGGGCGGCGACGCACAGGGGGGAGCACGCGUUGGUGCCUCCGGACGAGCUCUGCGCUCACCAUCCUUCGUGCCCAUGUGCCAGUCUUUGUGGCGGUAGACACGCGGCCAUUCCUGAUCCCCAUCACGCAUCGGGCUUGCCGCAGGCGAGAUGGGAGUGUAGUCCUUGACCACGUCCAGGUGGAUUAG
rnacentral:rRNA from 1 species